AGCAAAACUCGUCAACCAGUAGCAGUGACAUCAUUUGACUACUGAUUUGUUGAGCAAUCAUAAAGACAGUGGACAGUGCAGGAGUGAAAGGUCAAGUACACACUAUGAAGAAAUACCAGCAGUAUCAGGGCUUUGUGGUAUACAGGCUAGCACGUCAGCAUGUAGUGAGCUGCAAGAGAACCAAGAGAGGUAUGUAAAACCAUCAGAAAAACAAUUGCCAUCAACACCAGAUGUUAUAAUACUUAAUUGACGCUUGAUUAAUGUUAAAAGACUGAAACAUUUAAAGACUGUCCUCAAUCAACAACAACAACAACAACAACAACAAACACACCUUACCAAAUACACAUUAAAUAUUUUCCCCAAGACUUUAGCUUCCUUUGUCAACAAACUGACAUUGAUUAUUUUGUAUCAGAAACUUGAAUUAUCUACAGUCCUUAAUUAUAAUUUCUCUUUCUGUUGAAGUAACCUUGUCAUUUUAAAGUGUUUUUAUAUAUCUAAUGUUAAAAUAUCUUUUUGUGUUUUCUCAAUAAGACUUUUGAUUAUAAUGAUGGAUAAUCAUAAAUUUUUGUAAAUAAAGAUGUAUUGAAAAUA